rnacentral:rRNA from 1 species
UUCAAAUGCUUCAAGGAAUAUUGCAGAGUGGGACUACGGGAGCAAGUUUCGUAGUCAAAAGGAUAACAGUCCAGACUUCUGAUUAAGGUCCCUAAAGUAAUGCUAAGUGGAAAAAGAGGUGUCUUUACUUAUACAUCCAGGAGGUUUGCCUAGAAGCAGCAAUCCUUUAAAGAAAGCGUAAUAGCUCACUGGACUAGCGAAGAUGCGCUGAAGAUGUAACGGGGCUAAGCAUUAUACCGAAAUCGAAGACCAGUGUAGUAAUACACUGUGUGGUAGGAGAGUGUUCUUACAGGAUGAAGCUACACUGCGAGGUGUGGUCGACUAGUAAGAAGUAAAAAUGCUGACAUGAGUAACGCUUAUUGAUGAAAAUUCAAUAUAUCGAAACCCUAAGGAUUCCUACGCAACGUUCAUCGUCGUAGGGUUAGUCGGGACCUAAGGCGCAUCCUGAAAAGGAUGGUCGAUGGAUAACUGGUUAAUAUUCCAGUACUUAUUUAUAGAGUGAUGGGGUGACGCAUUGAGAUUUGUGAGAGCUUAUUAAGGAUUUAAGUCGAAAGAACAAGGUUUUUAUAGCGUUAGCUAUAAAGGUAGUUGCAGGAAAAUCCACAACUAUUGAUACUGAGCUUGAUCGGGAUUUAACUCCUCGGAGUUAGAAAUUCUUAUCGUUUUGGUGCCGAGAAAAACCUCUAAACUUAAUCUAUAGAUAACCCGUACCCAGAUCAGACACUUGUGGGGUGGUAGAGAAUACUAAGAUAAUCGAGAUAACUAAUGGGUAAGGAACUUGGCAAAUUAGCGGACGUACUUUCGAAAUAAGUCCUGUCCCGAGCAAUCGGGAUCGCAGCGAAAGAGAUGGGGGGAACUGUUUAUCAAAAACACAGCUCGCUGCUAACUCGUAAGAGGAUGUAUAGCGGGUGAUGCCUGUCCAAUGCCAGAAUGUUAUGCUCUCUUGUGCAAGCUCGAGGGUUAAGCACUGGUGAAUGACGGCCGUAACUAUGACGGUCCUAAGGUAGCGAAAUUCCUUGUCAGGUAAGUUCUGACGCGCAUGAAUGGCAUAAUCAUCCCCAUGCUGUCUUACCCUUAGACUCGGUGAAAUUACAAUCCCGGUAAAAAUGCCGGGUAGUCACAGUUAGACGGAAAGACCCUGUGAAGCUUUACUGUAGAUUGAUAUUGGAUUGUAGCAUGUUUUGCUCAGUAUAGGUGGGAGGCUUUGAUGUUUCGACUUCGGUUGGGGCGGAGCCAAUAGUGAGAUACCACCCAAAAUAUGUAGCAGUUCUAAUCCCUGUGUUGGGAGACAGUUUCAGUUGGACAGUUUACCUGGGGCGGGUGCCUCCUAAAAAGUAGCGGAGGCGUGCAAAGGUUUGCUUACUACGGAUGGAAACCGUGGUGAAUGUGUAUUCGCAAAAGCAAGCUUGACUGUGAGACUGACAGGUCGAGCAGAUACGAAAGUAGGCGAAAGUGAUCCGGAUCUUCCAAGUGGAAGGGGAUCCGCUCAACGGAUAAAAGUUACUCCGGGGAUAACAGGCUAAUGGAAUCUAAGCGUUCACAGCGACGAUUCCGUUUGGCACCUCGAUGUCGACUCGUCGCAUCCUGGGGCUGUAGAAGGUCCCAAGGGUUGGGUUGUUCACCCAUUAAAGCGGUACGCGAGCUGGGUUCAGAACGUCGUGAGACAGUUCGGUCCC